UACGGGGGGAGCAAGCGUUGUUCGGAAUCACUGGGCGUAAAGGGAGUCUAGGCGGUUUGGUAAGUGGGAUGUGAAAUGCCCGGGCUCACCCCGGGACCUGCAUCCCAAACUGCUGAGCUUGAGUACAGGAGAGGGUGGGGGAAUCCCAGGUGUAGCGGUGAAAUGCGUAGAUAUCUGGAGGAACACCGGUGGCGAAGGCGCCCACCUGGCCUGCUACUGACGCUGAAGCUCGAAAGCUAGGGGAGCAAACGGG
rnacentral:rRNA from 1 species